AUACGUAUGGGGCGAGCGUUAUCCGGAAUUAUUGGGCGUAAAGAGUACGUAGGUGGUUUUUUAAGCGGGAGGUUUAAGGCUACGGCUUAACCGUAGUUCGCCUCUCGAACUGGAAGACUUGAGUGCAGGAGAGGAAAGCGGAAUUCCUAGUGUAGCGGUGAAAUGCGUAGAUAUUAGGAGGAACACCGGUGGCGAAGGCGGCUUUCUGGACUGUAACUGACACGGAGGUACGAAAGCGUGGGGAGCAAACAGGAUUAGAUCCCCUGGUAGUCCACGCCGUAAACGAUGAGCACUAGGUGUCGGGUCAAAAGGCUCGGUGCCGAAGUUAACGCAUUAAGUGCUCCGCCUGGGGAGUACGUACGCAAGUAUGAAACUCAAAGGAAUUGACGGGG
rnacentral:rRNA from 1 species